AAGACAGUCAGGGGUUUGGGUAGGUGUGGGGAGGGUGAGAGCUGGUCACAGGGUGAACCUACCCACAGGUGGCUCCUCUCUGCUGUCUGUUGGGAUUGGUGAUUUGGAAUAAUUGAAGUCCCAGGGCUCAGGUGUUGAGCUGAUGCUCCUGCUCAGAGAGCACAAAUACCCACCCAGCCCUAGGGAGGGGUGGUUUGUCUGCUGACUGGUGGGAUCUGCAAGUUGUGGUUCAUCCUCCAUGGCUUCACCAAGCCCUGAACUCUGCUCUUGAGUCUUUGGUGCUCUGUAAUUUCCAGUCUUUCCUGAUGUAAAAUAGAGGAUGAAGACAGCAAUUGAAACAAUUGCAGCAGAGAAGGUUUUCAACCUCUGCCUCUGCUUGCUGGCAUACUAGGGCCAAGCUGGAGAAAAGGAGCCAACACCUUUGGGCAAAGAAAACCAGAAAAUCUGAGGAGAAGAGCCAGGAAGAAGGGAGGGAAUAUAUUUUCAUGGAAAAAUCUACCUUUAAAACAACAUGCUCUCCAGAAAAGAGAUGCUUUAGGGUUUGACCAGAGUCUUGAGAGGAGCAAGUCCAUGGAAUAGCAACCAGUUGUUUUACACACAAGCUACUGGAAAACAGACAGGAUCUCUUCAUUUAGCUGAGAUGGCAUCUUCUGCAUUCUCUGGGUCUCUAGCCAAAUUAAUCCCAAAGAUAAUGGGUGCCACAGUGCUGAGAUGCUCUGGAUCCACAGCUCUGAAGAAGACACCUGAACUUGCAGGACAAUGCACUGGGAGAGCCUGGGAUCAGUACAUGAAAGUACAUGGAGUGGAAAACAAUAUUAUAUGAAUCUGAAGGGUCAGAAAAUGAGAUUUCCAUCUGUGAAGCUGUCAUCCUGACACAUUUCAUCCAGGACUUGUGGCAUUUUGUAAAUGCCAUCUUAACAAUCAGGAAUGAGGCACUUCACAGAUGAUUGUAGUUAUUCUUCCUGUGAGACACCAUGAUGCUAUUCCCACUGGAAUAUUUGUCAAAGUGAAGCCCUGACAGCUUGAAAACAUGAUGGGGAGAAGAGCAGCUCUGGCUGAUUCAGUCUGGGCACAGGCAGUUCUGUGGCAGAAAAAGGCAGUCGCGCAAGUGGGAGCGUGGACAGGAUGAUGCUGCUGUCUCUGUGUGACAGCUCGUCCAACUGUCUUCUGCAGACCUUCCUGCCAAACUAAAAUAUGGGCCUCCAACAGCUCCUUGAGAUGUGGGAGUACAUUCAGUCACAAUAACUACUCCACAGCUAUCCACUUCCUCACUAGCAGCAUCAGAGCACAUUUAAAGACAUGGUAACAUUCUGAAAAGGAUACUGAGAAAAUGGUUCAAAUUAACUAAAUCUCUACAUUAGUGGAUUAUUCAAACCUUCUGGGGGGAAGAAUUAAUGUAAAGUUAAAAUUGCCUUAAUUCACUUUGGAAUAAAUAUUCAGUUUUAAAAUAUUCACACAGCAUUUGGGCACAUUAUCUCCUCUUAUUAAUUUUUUUCUGGCUUCCUGGUUUGCCUGGGUGGGAAACUCAAUACUGGGCUGGGAACUGAAUUCUCUCACUGACCCCUCUUCAGCUGAUCUUUGGGAAGCACCACAGAGAUUUGCUUGACUUUGUGCCCAGAUACAUCUCUGGGAGCCUUGUGCUCACCCAGCCGUGUUUGGAGUCAGCUCCCAGGGGCUCUCUGGGUGCAGCUGGUCCUGGGCUGUCCGUGUGAGCAGCAGGAGCUUUCUCAGAUGGUUCUGGAUGUGCUGCACAGCUGCUGCAGGGGGACCUGGGGCUGGCACUGGCCCCAUUCAAACACGUGGUGAAGAGCAGGGAUUGCAGCUUGCAGAGCUCAUUGUCUGAAUCCAGCUCUGCAACUCUUUGUCCUUCCAGAGGAAGACACGUGGCUACGUUUAGCAGGAGUGCUACAUUUUGCAAAUUUAGCAAAUUGAGUCAUUCUUUUGACCACCUCUUAGCACCAUCAGAACUGUUUUUCAGUCAAAAACCCACUCAAAUUGCACUUGUUUAAGUUUAGUUGUCAGACUGUGUGGGAGACUUCUAACACCAUCUCUACUGCUUGAAUAUAUGUGCUAUGAAUAUUUCAAAUGAAAGCCUCCUCACCGCCCCCCCACAUUAAUUUUAUAGAUGGAUAAUUAAUUAUCCUCCCUAUGGCAACUGGCUGUGGUUUUUAUUAACUUGCAAAUCAAAAGAAGAGCCUGAAAAAUGACAAGCUAAUUUUUUAAUAAGGUAUGUCCUCUGUGUUUAUUCGUAUUUUAUUACCCAGCAGUCUGUAAAGUUAUCUAUUUAAUUUGGAAAAAUGCAUUAUCGCGGUUUGAGUAAUCUCCCGUGGAAAAAAAAAUCAAGAUUAUUUUGCAACCGCAGUGUUGAAAUAUAUUGUACUGCAGUCAGGAGUAUGCUAACCAGAUAGAUAUCUUUGUCUGAUUUAAGUAAAUCAGAAUCUUCCUCUCUCAUUAUAAUGAUUGUGACAGCAGUGUUCAUGUUCAGAGUACCCUUGUAUGGUUUUCUCCUGAUAUAUGAUGUUCCCAGACAGGAGAUUUCUGCCUGCGUUUUCCUGCCAUAAUUUUAAUAAUUUUUUUUUUUUACUCUUGAGAUAGGCCCAGGAUUUAUUUCAGCAACAAGUGUUUUGCAAUUAGUUUUGAUGGAGUCAAGAUUUCACUGGUUCUCUCUAGUCUGCAAAGCCCGGGAUUGUUCCACCAAUGUGUAAUGAAGUUUGUACCAGCAGCUCUUCCACAUGAAGGGAAUGAAAAAGUACAGAGGAGCUCCUGCCAAUGCUUGCUUCAUAUCAAAACUAUUCUGAGGAAGAUUCUAAGAAAUGAGGAUGAAAAUCAUGGAGAGAGAGAAAGGAAAAAAAACCCCUCCACAACAAAAAAAACUGCUGCAAUAUUUUUAUAGCUGUUUGUACCCUUUCCACAGAGUUGUGUUUACCACUUAUGAUCCUGCUGUUUCUGUGGCUGAUCAGGAAAUAACGAGCUCUGCAAUCCUGGCCAAGUUUAGCAAAGUCACUAAUUGCUAAUUGUUUUGAUUUCACUUUUCAGCUUCUUGUCCCAUCGGGUGCUGUCUCCUGCCUGGGACUGUGCCUGAAGGUGGUGACAGAUUCCUGCUGCCUGGGGGCUGGUGUGUCCUUCCCCUCAGGAGAAAGGCAGCUCAGCUCUCCAUCCUGCACUUCUACCCCUGCUGCCAACAGGAAUAAUCAUACCUCUGCUCACGUGGAUCCAUCUGCCGUUUCAUCCUGCUGCAACCAUGGAAAGUCCCAGAUGUGCUCAUGGAUGAUGUUGGGUGCCCAUAAGGGAAGAGGAGAUUUCUCCCUCACCCCAAGGCCAGCUUUUUGAGAUGAGCUCAUGUCCCCUUUGAAGCUCUGAAACAAAUUGCUCUGUUUGUUGCCCUGUUGAAAACUUGGCUAGAAGUCAUUAGCUUUCCUUCUGAAGUACAAUGGUUUAUCAUCUCCAUAUUCCUUUUGUUCUAUUGGCAUAGUUCAGAGAUUUUUUUAUUAUUCAUAUUUAUGCAUCACUUCUUGGAAGCCUGUGGGGAAGACAAGAUAGAGAAAUCAUACUUGAAAGAAAAAGCUGUCAAGCUUAAUCUGCUGCAUUUCUCAUUUUCUGGAAUGGUGGGAAGAAAUCUCUGCGAGGCAGUUGUUUGGACAGUCUGAAGAAACCCUGCCAGCUUUAGAAACCCUGGCACAUUUAUAAUGUUUGACUAUAUAAAAGGUACGGGUGCAUGUGAGGGCUAUAAAUCCAGGUAAGUGCAGCACUGGGGAAUUCACACCCAUGGUUUGCCAGGUGGCAGAACCAGAGGACACCCAACAAGCCUGAGGUGAGGGGGCUGCAGCCACAGGUGCCCCAACAGGCAGGAGCUGGAUCCUAACAGCACUUGGGAGCAGACAUGAAGCCACAGCAUCAUUGAUCAUCAUCAUAUUUACAGGUUUAAUAUAGCUGGUUUGUGUCUACAAUGAGAAAAACACGAUUUUGGAUACCAGUGGUGUUUUGUCUGCCUGAGUGAUUAGUGUUUCACUUAGCACUCUGUUAAACUGCCUGCCAGAAUCAUAAAGGAUGCAAGCUGGUGUGUCAUAUCUUUCUCCAAGACUGUUAGGAUAUUUAUUUAAUCAGAGGGUGAGGGAAAUGUUGUGCUGAGCACCUCAAUGAGCAAUGUGGCCAUACUGGGUAAGGAAGAAAUGUGCUUUGAUGCCUGUGGGGGUGAGUUGGUUUGGUUCAAUCUUCAUAAUGGGGCUUCAGAGGUGAAUCUGAGUUUGUUGGACUCCUGGAGCAUCCACAGCAUUGCAGUGGGAGCUGGCUCAUUCAGGGGUUGGCUGACUUGCUGGAAUUGAGCUCCUUGCUCUGUGCUGACCCAGGGAACCAUUUGAGUGAACAAUGGCAUCCAGCUGCAGUAGCCUUGACCAGCAGGAAUUGCUGAUCCCCCAGUGCAUCCCAUGGGAUGUGUUUUCUCUUUCACUGCUGCUCACACCCAGAAAUAAGGCUCCACACACUCUUGCAAAGUUCUUCUCAAUUCAGAAACUAGCAUCUGGCACCAAUAAUGAAUUUUGAAUUCCCUGGGCUAAUUAGGUGUAGUCUGAAAAAGCCAGAAAGGACUUUGCCUUUAAUUAGAAUUUAUGUUUCAUAGAGGUAAUAAAUCUUGCUGGGGUUUAGGGCAAUCCAUGCACUUCUUUUGCCUUUUAUUGACUCAAACUUUGGUUUUCCUCAUUGGAGUGUCACUGAUCAAUAUCUUGCCUUCCCAUAUCGUGCUGUUUAACUAACAUUUUUUCCCAUGCUAUCCAAAAUCUAGAUCCUUACCAUUAGUAAGCGAUAUGCAAAACAUUUGAUUUCUUUCCAAGCUCAGGAUAAUGCAGGAUAAUCCCCACCCUACCAGCUUCCCUAGAAGAAUGCAGCAAUCAAAUUUCCUUUUUCUUUCUUCAAAUUUUGUUCAUAACCUUGCUGUACUGCAAAUUAAAGAGAGUAUUCUUUUCAGCCCUGGCACCAAAUUAAUUUAAUUUCCAUAUUUUCAUUAUCUUCCUAUUAACCACUAGCACUCUGCAACAAAGAAGCUAUUUGAAAUAUAUAAAGCUACAGCCAUUCCCUGCUGCAAGCUCUCAGGGGUACUUCGAUAAAUUACAUCCUCAUAAUGAAGAAGUAGGGGAAAGAGUGGCAACAAUAGAUUUUUUUCACAAUGAAAUGAAAUCGGGAUUUGAUCUGAUGCAACAUGACUUGCUCACAGCGCAGAUAGAAUAUCAAAUUAUCCCUGUGAAAUUUAAACCUUGCUGUAUUCCUCCCCUUGUAUCCAUUGUUCUGCUGAAACCUUGAAGACUGCAUACAAUUAUUUGCAAAUGGGGAUUUAGUUGAUACAGUUUAUUUUUGUCAACUUUCUCAAUUUAAUUAUCUUCAGCCUACAGUCUAAUUUAUGUGUUUGAUGUCACUAUUCAUUAGCAGUGCAGAUGCAGCCUGGAAAGAGACUGUAAAAAAGCCCAACAAUGCAGCUGAGAUCCCUCCUUAAACACAGUGCACCAGUUAAAUGCUGGAGCUGGUUACAGAAUGGGUUUGAAACAACACCAUCAGAAAAAUCACUACCUCAAGAAGCAUAAGAAUGUGAGUUUGUAUAAGUAACGCCUGUAAAAGUUGUAAUAUCAAAAGGAUGUAGUUCUAAUUCUGUGCCAGGACACAUAUCUGAUUCAUUGGCUGUCACUUAGAGGAGAGACAGACAGACCCUAAACUGGAGUUAUGAUUUUCAAGGUCACUGGCCAAAUGAAAAACUGGCAGUACGUUUCAUUGUGGGUUACUGUGAAAUGGAUUUGUUUGGGUUUUCUGUUCCUUCCCUUAUAUAAAAACGCCUUACACUGUUUUUAAACAAGUCUAAGGUUUUAUAUAUUCAACAUGAAAUAUUUGGGUUUUUUUUUAAGCACAAACUACAAAAUGAAGGUCACUUCCAUCUGAAAAAAAGCGUAUUUAAAACGUUUUUUGUUUCCACUUGUGUGGAUUUAAAAUUUUGUUUUAAAACCAAAUAUUUCCACAAUCAAAACAACUUACUGACAUGGACAGAAACACACAACUUAAUUUUGAUUAACUGAAAUACACAUUUGUAAGGAAGUUACAGAUAUUGGUUUGGCUGACUCUGCCAAAUACAGUCCCUGAGUUUAUGAGUUGUGUCUCUGAGCUGGUCAGAGAUCAAAUCAAGGCACUGGCUCUGCUGGUCUCCAGCUCUGCAAGUGAAACCGAGGAUUAUUUUAUGCCUGCCCAUGGCACAAGGGAAGGAGUUUUUUUCCAGUUCAGGCUCAUCUUGCUGGCAGGAAAACACCUGCCCAUGAAAAUCUUUUCAACACAGCUUCCUCCCCCCAUCUAUCUUAUCCCUGAGGAAUUGUGGAUCCCUGGAAAUAGGAAGGCUGAGCCCUCUGCUGUGACCUCUCUGUCAAUUGCUGCUCCCUGAGGAUGAGCCCUGCUGGGUUACAGGACAAACCAAGCGGGCACACUCUGCCCUGGCAGGUCUGGCUACCCUGCCAAGGCUGAUCUGUGCUUUUGGCUGUGUGUCUUUGCCUUCUGAAUGACAAACUAGGUACUGGAAAAUUAGGAAAUAACUCACUAAAACCCCAGAACCCCCAUCCCUUCUCCCCAAGCCCAAAUUCCCUGCUGGUGUAGAGCACAGGCUGCUCUGCCCGCGGUGGGAGGUCUCGCUUGGGCUCAAAACCCUUUGGGUUUUGCUGAAAUCUCAGGUUUCAGGAGCGUGGCCUGUUGCCCUUGUUUCCCUGGCCAUGGGGCUGAGCAGGAAUUGCUCAGUGCCUGACACUUGCCAGCUGGAGCUGCUGCUGAUUUUGGGGGAUCCAUGGGCUGGCAAACAGGUGCCAGUGGCUGCAGUGACUGAGUGGGAGGUGCUGUCUGCUUUUGGGGUAUUUGGGGUCUGAAGCUCAUGAACCUUUGCAUGCCACUCUGGUGAUUGCUCCCAGUUAUCUGGAUUAAACCCCAUCUCUUCCUACUGUAAAAAAUCCAGCCCACACAGCUUUAAAAAUUUAAAGCCAUGGGGUGAAUCGUUAUGUGUAUCAAUUAAAUCAACCCUUCCAGUGACAAGGGGAUAUUUGAUUUUCAACCCCCAAAGGACAGUACAUACUGUAUUACACUAUGGUGAUAUUUUCUAAUAAAUUAUCUAGCUGACAUCUUGCCUCUGAGGGGGAGAGGGAGAUUGUUAACAAAGAAGACAAACCUGUCUUUUUCCUAUUCAUGCCUCAUUUCCAUUAUGCAUAAGGGCACUGCUCUCAAUGCUCUGUACUUUGUGAAUGAUGAGAGAUGGGACAGGAAGUUUCUGAGCUGCUUAUACAAAUAUAUGUAUAUAUAUAUACAUAAUUUUAUUUUUUUAAAUAUAGAAUCAUAGAAUCGCUUAGGCUAGAAGAAAUAUUUAAAGUUCAAGUUCUCUGCUGUGACUGGGGACAUCUUCCACUAGAUCAAGUUACUCAGAGCCCCAUCCAAUCUGACCUUGAAUAUUUCCAGGGAUGUGGCAUCCACCACCUCUUUGGGCAGCCUGAGUCCAUGCCUCACCAGCCUCAUUGUAAAAAACGUAUUCCUUAUAUCUGUUCUAAAUUGACCUCCUUUAAAUUAAAAACAAUUACUUCUUGUCCUAUCAUAACAGGCCCUGCUAAAACAUGUACAAAGCAGUCACAGAGUUAACCCCAGCUUUGCCCUUUCCUCUUCCUUUCCCUACCCAGCAGCAAGUUAUUGUUUCACUCAUAGUAAUGGAAAUAUUAAAUCAGAUCUUCCCAUAGUUUUGUAUCAGUAUUGCUUCACCUUCGCAUUCAUAGAGCCUCACCUAGGGUGGGAAAUCACACAGCUUGUGCUGUGUGAGAUCAUGUGAAGUUUGGUGGCUUGGGACAGACCCUGGCUCUGUACAGGAGCUAGAAUAAAGGGGAAAACUGGGUUUUCUCUCUUUUGGUCUCAGGGAUAGCCAGGAUUUGAUCCUCAGCAUCUCUUUCCUCAUUUGCGGAGAUGGUGACCCCAAAUAUCCCCACUGGGGCUAAGGUUUGGUGAAGAGCCAGAAAAAAGAUGGUGUGAGGAGAAUUUGUUGGACCCAAGGGAAUGUUCCAGUGAGGUUUCAGUGGUUUGCAGUGUUUGAGAGAAACACUGAAAUUAUUAAAUUGGAAAUAAUGAAGUCUCAAUUAAUUCAACAUUUUGACCACGUAAGCCGGGGGCGAGGGAGAGAGAUGACAGCUGGUGGAAACAAGUUUUGCGAAUUUCCAUGAGUUUUCACUGCCCAAAAAAUCUUUUGUUAAUUCCUAAGUUGUUUCAAAAGCAUAAUGGCAUCUUCUAAGGGAUCAAGAACCACACAGGGAGGCACCUGUAAAUAAACAAGCAAAGCAGAAGUUAGAAGGCAGUUUCGAAUGAAUCAACAUUGAAAACACUCCUCUGAUUCACUCUUCACAUAUUUAGGAAAGUGCUUUUUGGGACUCAGCUUCACUUGAAUACAAGACAUUAGGUCAUUGUCUUUACUGGGAGCUUGUUAUGUAUUAAUAUCUAUUUAUUAGUAUUUGAUUCAACAAGUUACAUGAAUUUGGUUCCAGUAUUUUCUUUUUCAUGCAGCUUUAUCCCAUCAAUAUGUGACAGAACAACUGGUUUGCUGGGCUGUGUUUUCCCUAGUUCUGCCUCCAAAAGGGUUUUCACAGCUUUUAAAUAGGAGUUGUUGUGGUUUAGUGUCUCAGAGCUGCAAGUAAAUGGCAGUUCUCCACAGGGAAGGAUGUGUCUGAAAAAGGCUCAGCCUUCUGUAGACAGUGGAAUAACUGCAGGAGAAGCCUUAAUUGGGUGCAGGAGGGAGGAAGGAAAGAAAGCCCUUGACAGGUUGAAAUAUUUUUCUGUAGCAGCAGCAUUUUAGAGGCACUUGUUAAUGAAAAUGAUUGAUUGGAAAAUGAGUCAAAGCUUUUAAAUCUUAAAAAAUGAUUUUUUUUUUCCCCUCUUGAAAGUGGAUUCCUCAUCUGAUCAGGAAGACAAGAGAAUUUUCCUCUCCACCUCCAAAGAAUUAAAAGUUCCUUCAGGCUCAGUGUUUCUGAGAAACACUGCAUAAUUAUGCACGGGACACCUGGUGCAUGUGUGUGACAGGCAGGAUGAGGUAGCUGGUUUGCUUUUGAGACAGAGAAUAGAGAGAAUAAAAGGUGAAAUACCUUUUGUACUAAGUGUUUAAUAAUGUCUUUUGUCAAACAAAUUAACACCAGACACCCUCUCCAAAAUCCAACCUAAGCUAAUGAACAGCUGGAAUAUUACCUGACAUACCACCAAAAUUUUUAGAUAAUAUGUAUUGUUGGUUCUGAUGUAAA